CCGUUUUUGUGCGCUUUUUCCGCUGGACGAACUUGGCGCCCUGGCCGUCGGGCGGUUAUUUUUGUGCGCGGCUGUAUCCGCGGCCUAUUUUUGGCACACGGUAGCGCCUCGCCAAGUCUCGCGCCAUUCCGAGUCCGGCGAACGAAGUUGGCCAGCCCCACCCCCCAAGGCUAUAGCCCACCCGUUUUUGUGGCCUUUUUCCGCUGGACGAACUUGGCGCCCCGGCCUUCGGGUGGUUAUUUUUGGGCGCGGCUGUGCCCGCGGCCAAAUUUUGGCACACGGAGGCGCCUCGUAAAGUCUCGCGCCAUUGCAAUUCCGGCGGACGAAGUUGGCCAGCCCCACCCCCCAAGGCUAUAGCCCACCGUUUUUAGAGGGCUUUUUCCGCUGGACGAACUUGGCGCCCCGGCCUUCGGGCGGUUAUUUUUGGGAGCGGCUGUGCCCGCGGCCUAUUUUUGGCACACGGAGGCCCCUCGCAAAGUCUCGCGGCAUUCCGAGUCCGGCGGACGAAGUUGCCCGGCCCCACCCCCCAAGGAAAUAGCCCACCCGUUUUUGUGGCCUUUUCCCGCUGGACGAACUUGGCGCCCCGGCCUUCGGGCGGUUAUUUUUGGACGCGGCUGUGCCCGCGGCCUAUUUUUGGCACACGGAGGUGCCUCGCAAAGUAUCGCGCCAUUCCGAGUCCUGCGGACGAAAUUGGCCAGCCCGACCCCCCAAGGCUAUAGCCGCCCCGUUUUUGUGUGCUUUUUCCGCUGGACGAACUUGGCGCCCAGGCCUUCGGGCGGUUAUUUUUGGGCGCGUCUGUGCCCGCGGCCUAUUUUUGGCACACGGUGGCGCCUUGCAAAGUCUCGCGCCAUUCCGAGUCUGGCGGACGAAGUUGGCCAGCCCCACCCCCCAAGGCUAUAGCCCACCCGUUUUGGUGGCCUUUUUCCGCUGGACGAACCUGGCGCCCUGGCCUUCGUGCGGUUAUUUUUGGGCGUGGCUUUGCCCGUGGCCUAUUUUUGGCACACGGAAGCCCCUCUCUAAGUCUCGCGGCAUUCCGAGUCCGGCAGACGAAGUUGGCCAGCCCCACCCCGCAAGCCAUAGCCCACCCGUUUUUGUGGCCUUUUUUCCGCUGGACAGACUUGGCGGCCCGUCCUACGGGCGGUUAUUUGUGCGUGCGGCUUUGGCCGCGGCCUAUUUUUGGUACACGGAGGCCCCUCGUAAAGUCUCGUGGCAUUCCGAGUCCGGCGGACGAAGUUGGCCAGCCCCACGCCCCAAGGCUAUAGCCCACCCGUUUUUGUGGCCUUUUUCCGCAGGACGAACUUGGCGCCCCGGCCUUCGGGCGGUUAUUUUUGGGCGUGGCUUUGGCCGCGGCCUAUUUUUGGCACACGGAGGCCCCUCGCAAAGUGUCGCGGUAUUCCGAGUCCGGCGGUCGAAGUUGGCCAGCCCCACCCCCCCAGGCUAUAGCCCACCCGUUUUUGUGGCCUUUUUCCGCUGGACGAACUUGGCGCCCCGGCCUUCAGGCGGUUAUUAUUGGGCACGGCUUUUCCCGCAGCCUAUUUUUGGCACACGGAGGCCCCUCGCAACGUCUCGCGGCAUUCCGAGUCCGGCGGACGAAGUUAACCAGCCCCAACCCCCAAGGCUAU
rnacentral:lncRNA from 1 species